CCUACGGGAGGCAGCAGUGAGGAAUAUUGGUCAAUGGUCGGGAGACUGAACCAGCCAAGCCGCGUGAGGGAUGAAGGUACAGAGUAUCGUAAACCUCUUUUGUCAGGGAACAAAGGCGGGGACGUGUCCCCGGAUGAGUGUACCUGAAGAAAAAGCAUCGGCUAACUCCGUGCCAGCAGCCGCGGUAAUACGGAGGAUGCGAGCGUUAUCCGGAUUUAUUGGGUUUAAAGGGUGCGCAGGCGGUCUGUUAAGUCAGCGGUAAAAGCCCGGGGCUCAACCCCGGCCCGCCGUUGAAACUGGCAGUCUCGAGUUGGAGAGAAGUAUGCGGAAUGCGCGGUGUAGCGGUGAAAUGCAUAGAUAUCGCGCAGAACCCCGAUUGCGAAGGCAGCGUGCCGUGCCGCCACUGACGCUGAGGCACGAAAGCGCGGGGAUCGAACAGGAUUAGAUACCCCUGUAGUC
rnacentral:rRNA from 1 species